UGAGGAAUAUUGGUCAAUGGGCGCAAGCCUGAACCAGCCAAGUCGCGUGAGGGAAGACUGUCCUAUGGAUUGUAAACCUCUUUUUUAAGGGAAGAAUAAACACUACGUGUAGUGUGAUGCCUGUACCUUACGAAUAAGCAUCGGCUAACUCCGUGCCAGCAGCCGCGGUAAUACGAAGGGGGCAAGCGUUGUUCGGAAUUACUGGGCGUAAAGCGCACGCAGGCGGCGUGACGCGUCAGAAGUGAAAUCCCCGGGCUCAACCUGGGAACUGCUUUCGAAACGGUCAUGCUUGAAUCAUGGAGAGGGUAGCGGAAUUCCGAGUGUAGAGGUGAAAUUCGUAGAUAUUCGGAAGAACACCGGUGGCGAAGGCGGCUACCUGGCCAUGUAUUGACGCUCAGGUGCGAAAGCGUGGGGAGCAAACA
rnacentral:rRNA from 1 species